UGACGGCCAUAUCACGUUAAAACAUCGGUUCCUGUAUGUUCACCAAAGUUAAGCAACGUCCAGCCUGGUUAGUACCUAUAUGGGUGAGCACUUUGGAAUACCAGGGUGC